rnacentral:rRNA from 1 species
CCUACGGGAGGCAGCAGUGGGGAAUCUUCGGCAAUGGGCGAAAGCCUGACCGAGCAACGCCGCGUGAAUGAUGAAGGCCUUCGGGUUGUAAAAUUCUGUUAUAAGGGAAGAACGACUUUAGUAGGAAAUGGCUAGAGUGUGACGGUACCUUAUGAGAAAGCCACGGCUAACUACGUGCCAGCAGCCGCGGUAAUACGUAGGUGGCGAGCGUUAUCCGGAAUUAUUGGGCGUAAAGAGCGCGCAGGUGGUUGAUUAAGUCUGAUGUGAAAGCCCACGGCUUAACCGUGGAGGGUCAUUGGAAACUGGUCGACUUGAGUGCAGAAGAGGGAAGUGGAAUUCCAUGUGUAGCGGUGAAAUGCGUAGAGAUAUGGAGGAACACCAGUGGCGAAGGCGGCUUCCUGGUCUGUAACUGACACUGAGGCGCGAAAGCGUGGGGAGCAAACAGGAUUAGAUACCCCAGUAGUC